GCGAAUCUCGAAAGCCUGUCUCAGUUCGGAUUGGAGGCUGAAACCCGCCUCCAUGAAGUUGGAUUCGCUAGUAAUCGCGCAUCAGCCAUGGCGCGGUGAAUACGUUCCCGGGCCUUGUACACACCGCCCGUCAAGCCAUGGGAGCCGGGGGUGCCUGAAGUUCGUGACCGCAAGGAGCGACCUAGGGCAAAACUGGUGACUGGGGCUAAGUCGUAACAAGGUAGC
rnacentral:rRNA from 1 species